UCCAAGCAAUGAAAUUUCCUCUUAGAACUGCUUUCAAUAUGUCCUAUAGAUUCCUAUAUGUUGUGUCUGUGUUUUCAUUUAUCUCUAAGAAUUUUUUAAUUUCCUCCUUUUUAAAAAAAUUUUUUUUAGUUGUUCAUAGACCUUUAUUUUAUUUAUUUAUUUUUAUGUGGUUCUGAGAAUUGAACCGAUGCUAUAUAGUUGAGCUGUGAAAAACAGUUAGUAUGAUAGAAUAUGCAGACUUUUAAUCUUGAUGGUACUAGAAAAGGGUCUAGAAAUAGAAGGCCAUGAUGACACUGCAGAGUAUUCAAAAGUCUUAAUUAUUUGGCUUUAUGCAUAUUGUAAUAUUCUUGAGUAGGAUUUACUAGCAUUCCAGUAAAGUUUUAAAAAUUGUGUUCUGUUUCUUUUAUUGUUUUGGCCUAUGCUGUGUAAUAUGGAAAGAAUUUUGAAACAAAAUGUAUAUCAUUUUAUUAGAUAUUUAAAGGUCUUUGCUCACAGUUUUUAUAAUCAAUUAAAUGCAUAUUUGCUUAAUCUUUCCUUAUAUUGGGAGCAUAGGUAAAUAAGAUAAAUAAAGUUAAAAGCAAGUUGGAAUGUAGAUUAUUUUGUCUUUUUCAAUGCUACUCUCUGAUGUUUAUAGAAGACAAUGGUCACUCUAAGAAAAAGUGAGAAGAACCCUUU
rnacentral:lncRNA from 1 species